UACGUAGGGGGCUAGCGUUGUCCGGAAUUAUUGGGCGUAAAGAGCUCGUAGGCGGUGUGUCGCGUCGGCCGUGAAAACCUGCAGCUCAACUGUGGGCUUGCGGUCGAUACGGGCAUCACUGGAGUUCGGCAGGGGAGACUGGAAUUCCUGGUGUAGCGGUGAAAUGCGCAGAUAUCAGGAGGAACACCGGUGGCGAAGGCGGGUCUCUGGGCCGAUACUGACGCUGAGGAGCGAAAGCGUGGGGAGCAAACAGG
rnacentral:rRNA from 1 species